rnacentral:tRNA from 1 species
AAGAGGUUAGUAUAUUUAUUAUUAUUGGUUGUCGGCUAAUAGAAGGAAGGUUAACCCUCCCACCUUUUG